rnacentral:rRNA from 1 species
AACGAACGCUGGCGGCAUGCCUAACACAUGCAAGUCGAACGAAGGCUUCGGCCUUAGUGGCGCACGGGUGCGUAACGCGUGGGAAUCUGCCCUUUGGUUCGGAAUAACAGCUGGAAACGGCUGCUAAUGCCGGAUGAUGACGAAAGUCCAAAGAUUUAUCGCCAGAGGAUGAGCCCGCGUUGGAUUAGGUAGUUGGUGGGGUAAAGGCCUACCAAGCCGACGAUCCAUAGCUGGUCUGAGAGGAUGAUCAGCCACACUGGGACUGAGACACGGCCCAGACUCCUAUGGGAGGCAGCAGUGGGGAAUAUUGGACAAUGGGCGCAAGCCUGAUCCAGCAAUGCCGCGUGAGUGAUGAAGGCCCUAGGGUUGUAAAGCUCUUUUACCCGGGAAGAUAAUGACUGUACCGGGAGAAUAAGCCCCGGCUAACUCCGUG